GUCAAGGGUAACAUAGCUUUGGGAGCCCAUGCUCCUCCAAAGGCCCUAAGAUCCCAGGGGACAGAAGUUGGAACAGUGACUAUACUGAUUGACUACAGUUGUGGCUGGAUGCAAUCAGAAUGGCUUUCUACACCAAGGUCCAUGGGUAUGGCUGACAGCUAGAGCUGACUAGUGUUCUCUAUGUAACCCACGGCAGUAACAAACUUGGUUGAAGCUUCAGCUCAGGUUGGAGAAAAUGAGAUAGUUGGGAUCUCGGCUAUAAGGAUGAAUCACUCUUGGUUGUUGUGAAUGAGCUAUAUUUCUCCUUGGAAAAGAGAGAAGAAGCAAGUCCCACUGCAAGCCCCUACAGAAGUCUGUAGUUCUCACGGAGUAGCUGUUCAAGGACGGCUGAACUUCUAUCUGUUUUGAGGCAAGAAUGUCAACAGAGCAUCUGGCCAAUUCUCUUCUCUUUG
rnacentral:lncRNA from 1 species